rnacentral:rRNA from 1 species
GACCGGUAGCCGGCCUAAGAGGGCGACCGGCCACACUGGGACUGAGACACGGCCCAGACUCCUACGGGAGGCAGCAGUGGGGAAUAUUGCACAAUGGGCGAAAGCCUGAUGCAGCGACGCCGCGUGAGGGAUGACGGCCUUCGGGUUGUAAACCUCUUUCAGCAGGGAAGAAGCGAAAGUGACGGUACCUGCAGAAGAAGCGCCGGCUAACUACGUGCCAGCAGCCGCGGUAAUACGUAGGGCGCAAGCGUUGUCCGGAAUUAUUGGGCGUAAAGAGCUCGUAGGCGGCUUGUCACGUCGGUUGUGAAAGCCCGGGGCUUAACCCCGGGUCUGCAGUCGAUACGGGCAGGCUAGAGUUCGGUAGGGGAGAUCGGAAUUCCUGGUGUAGCGGUGAAAUGCGCAGAUAUCAGGAGGAACACCGGUGGCGAAGGCGGAUCUCUGGGCCGAUACUGACGCUGAGGAGCGAAAGCGUGGGGAGCGAACAGGAUUAGAUACCCUGGUAGUCCACGCCGUAUACGGUGGGCACUAGGUGUGGGCAACAUUCCACGUUGUCCGUGCCGCAGCUAACGCAUUAAGUGC